CUAAGAAUAUUUCCGGCAAUGGAGGAAACUCUGACGGAGCAACGCCGCGUGGACGAUGAAGGCCGGAAGGUUGUAAAGUCCUUUUAUAAUUGAGGAAUAAGCGGGACAGGGAAUGGUUCCGCGGUGACUGUAGAUUAUGAAUAAGCACCGGCUAAUUACGUGCCAGCAGCCGCGGUAACACGUAAGGUGCGAGCGUUAUUCGGAAUUAUUGGGCGUAAAGGGCACGCAGGCGGCUUUGCAAGCUUGGUGUGAAAUCUCAGGGCUCAACCCUGAAACUGCAUUGAGAACUGCAUGGCUAGAGUUAGUGAGG
rnacentral:rRNA from 1 species